AGGUGAAUUCCCAAUUCAUCUUGUGUUGGCAUGUGGCCCAGGGAGGGAAAUGGCACCAAGCACUGAGAAGCCCAAGAGAGGGUGUAGUUGCACCACCACACUGCCCCAUCCCAGUGGAGGUGGAAGAGAAAAGGCCCUGAUACAGCCAGAAUAUGAUGUUUGGCCAGGAGGAUGGGGACAGGGCGUGUGAAUGUAGCCAGACCCCAGCACAACCCAAGGUAGAAAGGGAGCAUAUGCUCCCCUGCACAGUUGUCAUCCAAACCCACUUUUUAGCCCUUCUAUGAAUCUGGAGAAGUGGAGUCAUUUCUAUGGCAAAGACUGUAUUUGUGGAGCAUGAGGUUGUUUUGCAAAAGGCAAACCAGAGCUGCUCAAGUGGCCAUUCCCAUUACUGGGGGAAGGGCCAUGCUGCUUCCAGAGAUCACCACCUGCCUCUCUUCUCACAACUCAUUUUUCCCUUAUCAGUGUAGUAUCUGUUUCCUCCCCUGCUGUGGAAAGGAUGGUAUUAAUUUUUUAUUUUUCUUCUUUUCCUUCCAAAAUACCUUUCAGCAAAAAUGAAAAGCAUUUCAAAUGUCAGCAAGAUCUGCUUAAACUCUUACAGUCUAAAUGGAGCAGCACUCUGUGCCAAGUCAAAAACUCGGGCACGAAGCAUUUAAAUAAAGGCUUGGAGCUGCCUGAGAGUGAAAUGGAGGACACCAGAGGAACAGCUUUGACGUGCAACCAGAUACUCAGAGGUAACAGCCCAGGGAGUCUCCAGCUGUAAGGUCCCCUCGCCUGGGUCUCAGCCCUGGACCAGCCCAUCCCUCAGCUCCAGUAUGAAUGUAAGUAUUUUAGAGAGAACUGCUCUGUGCCUGUGCAAACCCAUCACUGGCAGCCGCCAAACCUCCUGCCUCCCCAGUGCUAACAGCAUGAGGACAACAGGAGUGAUCAGCCAUUUUGUCACCUUCUGAACUGGAAGGUCAGGAGCAGAAAAGGUGGCAGCAUUGCCUCAGUUUUUGCAUUGCUAAUGCCAGUGCUGUUCCUUCUCUUAGCAAUAUCACUAGCUCACUGAGUUGCCUCUAAAUUGGCACUCUCGCUGACUUUCCAGACUUUGGCUGUUUUCAGAAGACGGUAACAGAGACUGCCUUGUGGCGACACACAGAAGGAUGCUCUUUAAAGCAGGAGGAAGGAGAGCAAUGCCUGGCUUCUACCUGCUGCUCCUGCUGCCCCUCACUAAGCAGGAAUUAAGCCAAGCCAGAAAAAUGCGAUCCCUAACCACUAACCUCAGCUGCCCCAUAGGAGAGAAGCCAUGUUGCCAUCCUGGGACAGGUGCUCUGGAGCUGGGCGGUCACUUGUCCCCUAAAGGGCGCUGCUCUGAGGAGAGGUCGAGACUGGCCCUGCUGGGCACGGCCGGACUGCAGCUGCCCCACCUCAGGGCACAGCUGAGCCCCGCUCCAAAACUGGUGGCACCUCUGGGAAAGUGUAUUUAAGAAAGGGCAAAACGCUGUAUGGCAGUGAGGGGUGAGGACAAAAAAAAAACCAUGAGAAACUGUCCUGCAAUGCUAAGGCCAGAAGAGGAAGAGGAGGAGGUGCUGAGCAGAGUCCCUGCAGCACAUGGAGUGACCACAGUGGAACAGGGGAACAGCUCUGAAGGAGCAGUGACCAGUGGGAAGGCCCCAUGCUGGAGCAGGGGAACAGCGUGAGGAGGAGGAGUGGCAGAGACAACCUGUUAUGGGCUGACCACAACCCCCCAUUCCCCAUUCCUCUGUGCCGUGUGGGGAGGGGAUAAAGGAGUGAAACUGAACCUGGGAAGAAGGGGGGGUAGGAGGGCGUUGUUUUAAUUUGUCUUUCGCUAUGCAAACCUAUUUUAACAGGCAAUAAAUUAAUUCUCCCCAAGUCAAA